CUACUGUACGCGCCGUAGAUAUCCACAACCACAGAAAAGGAGGGGAAUCAAAAUUCUCCACCGCAAUGUCGCAUCAUCUCCUCCUCCAGCUGCCCUUCGACCCCCAUCAACGGCCGCUCGCGGUUCAUCGCCGCCCUGUAUCCACCCCCGCCAACCUCCGCAAAAUCUGUCCAAGCAUCUUUAGAAGUUCGCCGGCACUGACUCUUUCGUGCUCGACCUCUUUCGGCGCCCUCCGUCCGCGGCCAGUGACCACUCUGAAUGUGAGGUGCAUGGCGAACCCUAGGAGAGUGAAAAUGGUGGCGAAGCAGAUACAGAGAGAGCUCUCCGACAUGCUCCUCACCGACAAGGUCCUCCAGUACGCAGUCCUCCCCGAAGCCGCUCUCGGCGCCGACCGCUACCUCUCCUCCGUCACCACCAUCAGCGACGUCGAAGUAUCCGGUGAUUUGCAGGUUGUUAAAGUAUAUGUAUCUGUUUUUGGUGAUGACCGUGGAAAGGAGGUUGCCAUUGCUGGGUUGAAGUCAAAGGCUAAAUAUGUUCGCAGUGUGUUGGGGAAGCGUAUGAAGCUGCGAUUGACUCCUGAGAUACGCUUUAUAGAAGACGAGUCUCUAGAAAGAGGAAGCAGGGUGAUUGCAAUAUUGGAUAGGAUAAAGAACAAGGAAAAAAUUGCUGAAGGCCGAGGUCAAGAACAAUAUGAACCAUCUGAUCUACCUGAAGAUGAAACAGACAGGGAGGAUGAGGACCCUGAUGAAGGCAUUAUUUAUGUAAAAUAGUGAUUCUGUUGGUGCUCAACAUUGACUUUCGAGCCAGUUUGACGUCGGGCAUGCCUUUGCUUCGCCUCAGGGAACUGUUUUUAACAAUUAUGCAAUUCCCUGCCAUUCCAUGCAGGGUGAUCUUGUUCUUAAGCCCAUCAUAUGAAGUCUUCAACUUCAUGCUGCCCUAAUUCAUGAGGACUUGAACCACUUUGCCCUAGUUCAGAUUUUUGUUGAUGUUCAAUAUGUCAAAUAUUUAAUGUAUAGGCCAUGUGUGAACCAUGGAGUUUAUAGAAAAUCAAUGUGUACAAAAAUGUUCUUACUAGUUUAGUUUUGGUGAUCAAUCAAGAUUGAGUAUUGUCUA